rnacentral:rRNA from 1 species
CUCAGACAUGCAAGUCGAACGAGAACCUUCCUUCGGGAAGGGGACAGUGGCGCACGGGUGAGUAACACGUGGGUAAUUUACCUUUGGGUGGGGAACAACAGCCGGAAACGGCUGCUAAUACCGCAUAAUGCAGCAGCAUCUAUUGAUGCAAUUGUUAAAGCGGGGGAUCGCAAGACCUCGCGCCUGGAGAGAAGCCCGCGGCAGAUUAGCUAGUUGGUAAGGUAAUGGCUUACCAAGGCAACGAUCUGUAACCGGCCUGAGAGGGCGGUCGGUCACACUGACACUGACAUACGGGUCAGACUCCUACGGGAGGCAGCAGUCGGGAAUUUUGGGCAAUGGGCGAAAGCCUGACCCAGCAACGCCGCGUGAAGGAUGAAGCUUUUCGGAGUGUAAACUUCACAAGAAUGGAAAGAAUAAGUUUAGGAUAAUACCCUGAAUGAUGACGGUACCAUUUGUAAGCUCCGGCUAACUCCGUGCCAGCAGCCGCGGUAAUACGGGGGGAGCAAGCGUUGUUCGGAUUUACUGGGCGUAAAGGGCGCGUAGGCGGCGCGACAAGUCACUUGUGAAAUCUCUGGGCUCAACCCAGAACGGUCAAGUGAUACUGUCGUGCUAGAGUGCGGAAGGGGCAACUGGAAUUCUUGGUGUAGCGGUGAAAUGCGUAGAUAUCAAGAGGAACACCUGCGGCGAAGGCGGGUUGCUGGGCCGACACUGACGCUGAGGCGCGAAAGCCAGGGGAGCGAACGGGAUUAGAUACCCCGGUAGUCCUGGCCUUAAACGAUGAAUGCUUGGUGUCCGGAGUUAGAUAGUCUCCGGGUGCCGUCGCUAACGCUUUAAGCAUUCCGCCUGGGGAGUACGGUCGCAAGACUGAAACUCAAAGGAAUUGACGGGGACCCGCACAAGCGGUGGAGCAUGUGGUUUAAUUCGACGCAACGCGAAGAACCUUACCUAGUCUAGAAUGCUCCUGACAGCCCUAGAGAUAGGGUUUCUUGGGUAAAACCAAGCAGGAUGCAAGGUGCUGCAUGGCUGUCGUCAGCUCG